rnacentral:rRNA from 1 species
UAACGCGUGAAUAAUCUGCCUACCAGUGGGGGAUAACUAACCGAAAGGUUAGCUAAUACCGCAUGAGGCCACAAUGUCUGCGGACAAAGGGGUGAAAGAUUUAUCGCUGGUAGAUGAGUUUGCGUGGGAUUAGCUAGUUGGUGGGGUAAUGGCCUACCAAGGCAACGAUCUCUAACUGGUCUGAGAGGAUGGCCAGUCACACUGGAACUGAGACACGGUCCAG